GAGUUUGAUCAUGGCUCAGAUUGAACGCUGGCGGCAUGCUUUACACAUGCAAGUCGAACGGCAGCACGGGGUUUACCCUGGUGGCGAGUGGCGAACGGGUGAGGAAUACAUCGGAACGUGUCUAUAAGUGGGGGAUAACGCAUCGAAAGGUGUGCUAGUACCGCAUAAUCUCUCAGGAGAAAAGCAGGGGAUCGCAAGACCUUGCGCUUUAGGAGCGGCCGAUGCCUGAUUAGCUUGUUGGUAAGGUAAAAGCUUACCAAGGCUUCGAUCAGUAGCUGGUCUGAGAGGACGACCAGCCACACUGGGACUGAGACACGGCCCAGACUCCUACGGGAGGCAGCAGUGGGGAAUUUUGGACAAUGGGGGAAACCCUGAUCCAGCCAUGCCGCGUGAGUGAAGAAGGCCUUCGGGUUGUAAAGUCGUCUUUCUAGCCGGAACGAAACGGUUAACGAGUUAAUACUCGUAAUUAA
rnacentral:rRNA from 1 species